UUUGAACCAGGUAUCCUUGGUCUUCAGACCCAUUCCUGUGUUUCUUCAGUAUGGGGUCCUCUCUCCACUUCAGUGACACCCCCCUCACCUUUGGAACCCACGGUACCAGCAGGAGGAACAGAGAAUGAAGAGGCAGAGGAUUCUGAAAAAUGAGUUGCAGACAGAGAGUGAGUCUGCUUGCUGGCUCUUCAGAUCCAGUGGCCUUGCCUCAAAGCGUGCUCCCUCUGAUGUCUCAGGGAAUUGUCAGCCUCCUGACCAUCUCCUGCUCUCCUGCUGGGAAGGCAGCCUCACAAGCUGGCUGUCCGCCUGGACUCUGCAGCCUGACUGCCUGGGUCCAGGUUCUACCUGCUGGGGUGGGUGACAGCCUAUUUGAGCCUCAGUUUCCUUUCUGUAAUAUGAAGAUAGUAACAGCGCCGAGCUCGCUCUGAGCAGAGAACCACAUAUAAAAUGUGACGCUGACCGCACACGCAACGCUGGGCAGGGAGGCGCAUGAUUUUCCUCCACU